rnacentral:lncRNA from 1 species
CUAAAUAACUGUCAUCUUCACCAUUACAUCAGUACUACAACUACCAUCAUCAUUACUACUACUACCAUCAUCAUCAUUACUACUACUACUACCAUCAACAUUACUACUACAACUACCAUCAUCAUCAUUACUACUACAACUACUACCAUCAUCAUUACCAUUACUACAACUACUACCAUCAUCAUUACUACUACAACUACUACCAUCAUCAUUACUACUACUACAACUACCAUCAUCAUUACUACUACAACUACCAUCAUCAUUACUACUACUACAACUACCAUCAUCAUUACUACUACUACAACUACCAUCAUCAUUACUACUACUACUACCAUCAUCAUUACUACUACUACUACCAUCAUCAUCAUUACUACUACUACUACCAUCAUCAUUACUACUACAACUACCAUCAUCAUCAUUACUACUACAACUACCAUCAUCAUCAUUACCAUUACUACAACUACUACCAUCAUCAUUACUACUACAACUACCAUCAUCAUUACUACUACUACAACUACCAUCAUCAUUACUACUACCAUCAUCAUUACUACUACAACUACCAUCAUCAUCAUUACUACUACAACUACCAUCAUCAUUACUACUACUACUACCAUCAUCAUUACUACUACAACUACCAUCAUCAUCAUUACUACUACAACUACCAUCAUCAUCAUUACCACUACUACAACUACCAUCAUCAUCAUUACUACUACAACUACCAUCAUCAUUACUACUACUACUACCAUCAUCAUUACUACUACAACUACCAUCAUCAUCAUUACUACUACAACUACCAUCAUCAUCAUUACCACUACUACUACUACCAUCAUAAUUACUACUACUACUACUACCAUCAUCAUUACUACUACUACAACUACCAUCAUCAUUACUACUACUACAACUACCAUCAUCAUCAUUACUACUACAACUACCAUCAUCAUCAUUACUACUACAACUACCAUCAUCAUCAUUACCACUACUACAACUACCAUCAUCAUUACUACUACUACUACCAUCAUCAUUACUACUACUACAACUACCAUCAUCAUCAUUACCACUACUACAACUACCAUCAUCAUUACUACUACUACUACCAUCAUCAUUACUACUACUACAACUACCAUCAUCAUUACUACUACUACAACUACCAUCAUCAUUACUACUACUACUACCAUCAUCAUUACUACUACAACUACCAUCAUCAUUACUACUACUACAACUACCAUCAUCAUUACUACUACUACUACCAUCAUCAUUACUACUACAACUACCAUCAUCAUCAUUACUACUACAACUACCAUCAUCAUCAUUACCACUACUACAACUACCAUCAUCAUUACUACUACAACUACCAUCAUCAUUACUACUACAACUACCAUCAUCAUUACUACUACAACUACCAUCAUCAUUACUACUACUACAACUACCAUCAUCAUUACUACUACAACUACUACCAUCAUCAUUACUACUACAACUACUACCAUCAUCAUUACUACUACUACUACCACCAUCAUCAUUACUACUACAACUACUACCAUCAUCAUUACUACUACUGCUACCACCAUCAUCAUUACUACUACUACUACCAUCAUCAUUACUACUACAACUACUACCAUCAUCAUUACUACUACAACUACUACCAUCAUCAUUACUACUACUGCUACCACCAUCAUCAUUACUACUACUACUACCAUCAUCAUUACUACUACAACUACUACCAUCAUCAUUACUACUACUGCUACCACCAUCAUCAUUACUACUACUACUACCAUCAUCAUUACUACUACAACUACUACCAUCAUCAUUACUACUACUACUACCAUCAUCAUUACUACUACUACUACCAUCAUCAUUACUACUACUACUACCAUCAUCAUUACUACUACUACUACCACCAUCAUUACUACUACUACUACCAUCAUCAUUACUACUACAACUACUACCAUCAUCAUUACUACUACUACUACCACCAUCAUCAUCACUACUACUACAACUACCAUCAUCAUUACUACAACUACAAUCAUCAUUACUACAACUACCAUCAUCAUUACUACUACCACCACCAUCACUAAACUGUUAUCACUACCAUUACCACUACUAUUUGGAAUGAUAAACAACAAUAAUAAUACCAAUAAUAGUAAUAAUAAGUAA